GACGAACGCUGGCGGCGUGCCUAAUACAUGCAAGUUGAGCGAUGAAGCUUGGUGCUUGCCCCAAUUUGAAGAGCAGCGAACGGGUGAGUAACGCGUGGGGAAUCUGCCUUUGAGCGGGGGACAACAUUUGGAAACGAAUGCUAAUACCGCAUAACAACUUUAAACAUAAGUUUUAAGUUUGAAAGAUGCAAUUGCAUCACUCAAAGAUGAUCCCGCGUUGUAUUAGCUAGUUGGUGAGGUAAAGGCUCACCAAGGCGAUGAUACAUAGCCGACCUGAGAGGGUGAUCGGCCACAUUGGGACUGAGACACGGCCCAAACUCCUACGGGAGGCAGCAGUAGGGAAUCUUCGGCAAUGGACGAAAGUCUGACCGAGCAACGCCGCGUGAGGGAAGAAGGGUUUCGGAUCGUAAAACUCUGUUGGUAGAGAAGAACGUUGGUGAGAGUGGAAAGCUCAUCAAGUGACGGUAACUACCCAGAAAGGGACGGCUAACUACGUG
rnacentral:rRNA from 1 species